GUUAAGCGACUAAGCGUACACGGUGGAUGCCCUGGCAGUCAGAGGCGAUGAAGGACGUGCUAAUCUGCGAUAAGCGUCGGUAAGGUGAUAUGAACCGUUAUAACCGGCGAUUUCCGAAUGGGGAAACCCAGUGUGAUUCGUCACACUAUCAUUAACUGAAUCCAUAGGUUAAUGAGGCGAACCGGGGGAACUGAAACAUCUAAGUACCCCGAGGAAAAGAAAUCAACCGAGAUUCCCCCAGUAGCGGCGAGCGAACGGGGAGCAGCCCAGAGCCUGAAUCAGUGUGUGUGUUAGUGGAAGCGUCUGGAAAG
rnacentral:rRNA from 1 species